GGGGUUGUAGCUCAGUGGCAGAGCACUUGCCUCGCAUGCAUGAGGCACUGGGUUCAAUCCUCAGCCCCA
rnacentral:tRNA from 1 species